UGAUAUUAAAUCUUUCACACAACUCGUUUUUUAUGUUUUGUUUGAAUAUACAUUUUUGUUACUUCGAACAUUUGUGACUUGUCGAGGACUACAUUUUGGAGGCGAAUUCUCGACAUAGUGGCACCUCCUGAACGGGAUUCUACUGAAUCUGUGAUAUGAAUAUGGACGGGAAAGAGUUGACGAAUCUCGAAACGAAGCUAACGCAGCUGGAAAUCGCAACAGAGAAGUCAAAAGCAUUGCUGAGCUCAGGUAAGCGAGUAGCAAUUAAGCGACACCUCGACGCGUUACAAACAACGGCCAACGAGGCCAAUGAGUGCAGACGCACUGUUGAGGCAUUUAAAAUCACAAACAAAGAAGAGCUUUCAGAAAUCAAAAAA